rnacentral:rRNA from 1 species
AUGGAGGUGGUGAAGAGCCUCCUGAAGACGAAGCUGACACCACAGCAGCAGCUGCGCGAGUGGCAGCGCCGCCUCUGCAACGAGGGCCGCAACAUCGAGCGCCAGAUCCGAGACGUGCAGAAGGAGGAGAAGAAGGUGGAGAAGGCCAUCCGGGCCGCCGCCAAGGAGCUGGUGCAGUCCAGGAAGGCGGUCAACCACCUCUACGAGAACAAGGCCCAGCUCAACUCCAUCUCCAUGCACCUCGGCAAGAUCGUCGGAUGCUGCGAUCAACAGCCUGAACAACAAGACCCACAUGAAGAUCCUGCUGAAGUGGAUGUGGGGCAGGAGGAUCUUCAAGCUCUUGUGCACGUAGCGAGGAGCUGCUCUUCGCCUCGCCUUGCGCUGAUGAAAAAUACCAGUGCUUUCGUUGCCAAUAAUACACGCAUGCUCCACAACUAA